UACUUUUUGGUCGGAAUAGAUUCUUUGUUUGAAGACUCAAGGAAAUAAUGUCCGAACUUGAACCAAGAAAUUCUACGAUUCAAAAACAAGAAAAGCACAAAAUAACGCUAACACGAACAAACGGGCACAAAAACUAACUAACAAGCUAGUAGGAGAUUACUAGGUCGUCAAUUAGUGUUCAAACCAACAAACGAAACUAAGAAACAAUAAAAUGGAACUAAG
rnacentral:lncRNA from 1 species